AAGUGUUCUAUAUGUUAGAGUAAACGGAAAUCACGAUAGUCUGUUUUGAUCGUGCAACACUGAACAGAAAUAACAGCUGUAGCAAUUUAUAUUAGAAUAUAUCAGGCACAUAAUCACGAGUAUCGGGCCUUCUUGGAUAAUGAGAAGAUAUGUUCUUUCUGUGACGGGGAGUGGGUUUACUACUACUUGUGUCGCACCUGUAACGAACAGUUCUGUCCAUUUUGUCGCCUACGUCAUAAUCUCACGCCAAGAUUUUCCUUGCACGUGAUUGACUGUGUUAAAAAUAAGAACUACAAACCCGGUUUCAAGCAUGUAGAAUUUACCGAUAAUCUUUAAACCUAACUUAUAAAUUCAGCUAGAUUACCGCUAUCCGUGUUUCGCAAUACCACAAAAAGACAUGGAGUAUCUUUCUCCAUUGUUAAAGAUAGGUGAUGUUUACCAGAGACUUGACAAUGUUCCACCCUAUUCUGAACAAUUUCAAUGUUUGCUCUAAUUUGAUUGUUAUGUUCAUUUUUUUUAUGUUGACAAUGUGCCUUGCAAUUUAGUUAUAAAUGAUUAUUCUGUUC